GCCCUGGUGGCGGAACUGGCAGACGCGCACGGUUGAGGGCCGUGUCCUUUAACGAGGGUGGAGGUUCGAGUCCUCUCCAGGGCA
rnacentral:tRNA from 1 species